GCUCUCGUCGUUCAACGGAUAGGACACCGGAUUGCGGAUCCGGCAAUGACAGUUCGAUUCUGUCCGAGAGCA
rfam:Candidatus Kaiserbacteria bacterium RIFCSPLOWO2_01_FTLL_52_12b rifcsplowo2_01_scaffold_6601, whole genome shotgun sequence.